rnacentral:rRNA from 1 species
ACGUAAUAGAUACCCGGGUAGUCCACGCCCUAAACGAUGUCUACUAGUUGUUGGUGGAGUAAAAUCCAUGAGUAAACGCAGCUAAACGCGUGAAGUAGACCGCCUGGGGAGUACGGUCGCAAGAUUAAAACUCAAAUGAAUUGACGGGGGCCCGCACAAGCGGUGGAUUAUGUGGAUUAAAUUCGAUGCAACGCGAAAAACCUUACCUGGCCUUGACAUGUAACGAACUUUCCAGAGAUGGAUUGGUGCUCGAAAGAGAACGUUAACACAGGUGCUGCAUGGCUGUCGUCAGCUCGUGUCGUGAGAUGUUGGGUUAAGUCCCGCAACGAGCGCAACCCUUGCCAUUAAUUGCCAUCAUUAGUUGGGCACUUUAAUGGGACUGCCGGUGACAAACCGGAGGAAGGUGGGGAUGACGUCAGGUCCUCAUGGCCCUUAUGGCCAGGGCUUCACACGUAAUACAAUGGUCGGUACAGAGAGUUGCCAACCCGGCAGGGGGUAGCCAAUCUCAGAAAGCCGAUCGUAGUCCGGAUUGUAGUCUGCAACUC